UACGGAGGGUGCAAGCGUUAUCCGGAUUCCCUGGGUUUAAAGGGUGCGUAGGCGGGCAGGUAAGUCCGUGGUGAAAUCUCUGAGCUUAACUCAGAAACUGCCAUGGAUACUAUUUGUCUUGAAUGUUGUGGAGGUAAGCGGAAUAUGUCAUGUAGCGGUGAAAUGCUUAGAUAUGACAUAGAACACCAAUUGCGAAGGCAGCUUACUACACAAAUAUUGACGCUGAGGCACGAAAGCGUGGGGAUCAAACAGG
rnacentral:rRNA from 1 species